rnacentral:rRNA from 1 species
UGCAGUCGAGCGGUAGAGAGGUGCUUGCACCUCUUGAGAGCGGCGGACGGGUGAGUAAUACCUAGGAAUCUGCCUGGUAGUGGGGGAUAACGUUCGGAAACGGACGCUAAUACCGCAUACGUCCUACGGGAGAAAGCAGGGGACCUUCGGGCCUUGCGCUAUCAGAUGAGCCUAGGUCGGAUUAGCUAGUUGGUGAGGUAAUGGCUCACCAAGGCUACGAUCCGUAACUGGUCUGAGAGGAUGAUCAGUCACACUGGAACUGAGACACGGUCCAGACUCCUACGGGAGGCAGCAGUGGGGAAUAUUGGACAAUGGGCGAAAGCCUGAUCCAGCCAUGCCGCGUGUGUGAAGAAGGUCUUCGGAUUGUAAAGCACUUUAAGUUGGGAGGAAGGGCAUUAACCUAAUACGUUAGUGCUUUGACGUUACCGACAGAAUAAGCACCGGCUAACUCUGUGCCAGCAGCCGCGGUAAUACAGAGGGUGCAAGCGUUAAUCGGAAUUACUGGGCGUAAAGCGCGCGUAGGUGGUUUGUUAAGUUGAAUGUGAAAUCCCCGGGCUCAACCUGGGAACUGCAUCCAAAACUGGCAAGCUAGAGUAUGGUAGAGGGUAGUGGAAUUUCCUGUGUAGCGGUGAAAUGCGUAGAUAUAGGAAGGAACACCAGUGGCGAAGGCGACUACCUGGACUGAUACUGACACUGAGGUGCGAAAGCGUGGGGAGCAAACAGGAUUAGAUACCCUGGUAGUCCACGCCGUAAACGAUGUCAACUAGCCGUUGGGAACCUUGAGUUCUUAGUGGCGCAGCUAACGCAUUAAGUUGACCGCCUGGGGAGUACGGCCGC